rnacentral:rRNA from 1 species
CAGUUUAACGGCCGCGGUACCCUAACCGUGCGAAGGUAGCAUAAUCACUUGUUUCUUAAAUAGAGACUAGUAUCAACGGCAUCACGAAGACUAUACUGUCUCCCCCCUAAAAUCAAUGAAACUGAUCUCCUCGUGAAGAAGCGAGGAUAUACAUAUAAGACGAGAAGACCCCAUGGAGCUUUAAACGAACUUCAAUUGUUCCUACCCAUAACAUACAAAUUGAACACCCCUGAUAGUUAGUUUUAGGUUGGGGUGACCGCGGAGUAAAACAAAACCUCCACAAUGAAUGAAAUAAAAUUCUUAUAAAAGAACCACAAUUCUAAUAAUCAAAAAUUUGACAUAAAUUGACCCAAACACUUGAUCAAUGAACCAAGUUACCCUGGGGAUAACAGCGCAAUCCAUUUUAAGAGCCCAUAUCGACAAAUGGGUUUACGACCUCGAUGUUG